UUAACGCAAUUUAUAUGGAGUUUGAAAGUUUGCCAAUGUUUGCCGCUAGGGGCGCUGUUCGAACUCCAUACAAAUUUGAGUUA
rnacentral:pre_miRNA from 1 species